rnacentral:tRNA from 1 species
GGGGUUGUAGCUCAGUGGUUGAGCACUUGCCUCGUAUGCAUGAGCCACUGUGUUCAAUCCGCAGCAUCACAU